rnacentral:rRNA from 1 species
GACGAACGCUGGCGGCGUGCUUAACACAUGCAAGUCGAACGAAGAGCGAUGGAAGCUUGCUUCUAUCAAUCUUAGUGGCGAACGGGUGAGUAACGCGUAAUCAACCCGCCCUUCAGAGGGGGACAACAGUUGGAAACGACUGCUAAUACCGCAUACGAUCUAAUCUCGGCAUCGAGGAUAGAUGAAAGGUGGCCUCUACAUGUAAGCUAUCGCUGAAGGAGGGGAUUGCGUCUGAUUAGCUAGUUGGAGGGGUAACGGCCCACCAAGGCGAUGAUCAGUAGCCGGUCUGAGAGGAUGAACGGCCACAUUGGGACUGAGACACGGCCCAGACUCCUACGGGAGGCAGCAGUGGGGAAUCUUCCGCAAUGGACGAAAGUCUGACGGAGCAACGCCGCGUGAGUGAUGACGGCCUUCGGGUUGUAAAGCUCUGUUAAUCGGGACGAAAGGCCUUCUUGCGAAUAGUGAGAAGGAUUGACGGUACCGGAAGAGAAAGCCACGGCUAACUACGUG